GACGAACGCUGGCGGCGUGCUUAACACAUGCAAGUCGAACGGAAAGGCCCUGCUUUUGUGGGGUGCUCGAGUGGCGAACGGGUGAGUAACACGUGAGUAACCUGCCCUUGACUUUGGGAUAACUUCAGGAAACUGGGGCUAAUACCGGAUAGGAGCUCCUGCUGCAUGGUGGGGGUUGGAAAGUUUCGGCGGUUGGGGAUGGACUCGCGGCUUAUCAGCUUGUUGGUGGGUUAGUGGCUUACCAAGGCUUUGACGGGUAGCCGGCCUGAGAGGGUGACCGGCCACAUUGGGACUGAGAUACGGCCCAGACUCCUACGGGAGGCAGCAGUGGGGAAUAUUGCACAAUAGGCGGAAGCCUGAUGCAGCAACGCCGCGUGCGGGAUGACGGCCUUCGGGUUGUAAACCGCUUUCGCCUGUGACGAAGCGUGAGUGACGGUAAUGGGUAAAGAAGCACCGGCUAACUACGUG
rnacentral:rRNA from 1 species